AACGAACGCUGGCGGCAUGCCUAACACAUGCAAGUCGAACGAUGAACCGGGUGCUUGCACUUGGGGAUUAGUGGCGAACGGGUGAGUAACACGUGAGUAACCUGCCCUGGACUCUGGGAUAACCCCGAGAAAUCGGAGCUAAUACCGGAUAGGACCUUUCCUCGCAUGAGGUUUGGUGGAAAGUUUUUCGGUCUGGGAUGGACUCGCGGCCUAUCAGCUUGUUGGUGAGGUAAUGGCUCACCAAGGCGUCGACGGGUAGCCGGCCUGAGAGGGUGACCGGCCACACUGGGACUGAGACACGGCCCAGACUCCUACGGGAGGCAGCAGUGGGGAAUAUUGCACAAUGGGCGCAAGCCUGAUGCAGCAACGCCGCGUGCGGGAUGACGGCCUUCGGGUUGUAAACCGCUUUUAGUAGGGAAGAAGGGCUUCGGCUUGACGGUACCUGCAGAAAAAGGACCGGCUAACUACGUGCCAGCCGCCGCCGUAAGAC
rnacentral:rRNA from 1 species